rnacentral:rRNA from 1 species
UACGGGGGGGUGCGAGCGUUGUCCGGAAUCACUGGGCGUAAAGGGUGCGUAGGUGGGCCUGUAAGUCAGUGGUGAAAUCUUCAAGCUUAACUUGGAAACUGCCAUUGAUACUAUAGGUCUUGAAUUAUCUGGAGGUAAGCGGAAUAUGUCAUGUAGCGGUGAAAUGCUUAGAGAUGACAUAGAACACCCAUUGCGAAGGCAGCUUACUACGGAUUGAUUGACACUGAGGCACGAAAGCGUGGGGAUCAAACAGG